UAUAAACCCAUUCUUUAGGGUCUUCGAGGC
rnacentral:piRNA from 1 species